rnacentral:rRNA from 1 species
GUCUACAGCCACAUCACCCUGAACACAAUGUCUUCUGAUCUGGGAAGCUAAGCAGGGUCAGGCCCGGUUUAGUACAUGAAUGGGAGAGACAGAUCCCAAAUCCCCGGGAAGUGUUGGUAGAUGUGGGGU